UACGUAGGGGGCAAGCGUUAUCCGGAAUUACUGGGUGUAAAGGGUGCGUAGGUGGUAUGGCAAGUCAGAAGUGAAAAUCCAGGGCUUAACUCUGGGACUGCUUUUGAAACUGUCAGACUGGAGUGCAGGAGAGGUAAGCGGAAUUCCUAGUGUAGCGGUGAAAUGCGUAGAUAUUAGGAGGAACAUCAGUGGCGAAGGCGGCUUACUGGACUGAAACUGACACUGAGGCACGAAAGCGUGGGGAGCAAACAGG
rnacentral:rRNA from 1 species